rnacentral:rRNA from 1 species
CCCUUAGAUGUCCUGGGCCGCACGCGCGUUACACUGAUGCAUUCAACGAGCUUAUAACCUUGGCCGAGAGGCCUGGGCAAUCUUGUUAACGUGCAUCGUGAUAGGGAUAGAUUAUUGAAAUUAUUAAUCUUGAACGAGGAAUUCCUAGUAAACGCAGAUCAUCAAUCUGCAUUGAUUACGUCCCUGCCCUUUGUACACACCGCCCGUCGCUACUACCGAUUGGAUGGUUUAGCGAGAACUUUGGACCGGAGCUCGGGUGGUCAGCAAUGGUCGCCCGAGAUGUCUGGGAAAUCGUUCCAGCUUGAUCAUCUAGAGGAAGUAAAAGUCGUAACA